rnacentral:rRNA from 2 species
CGAGACCUCAGGUCAGGCGGGGCUACCCGCUGAG